rnacentral:rRNA from 1 species
UAUCAAAAACAUCGCUCCUUGUUUAAUAAAAAAUAGGGAGUCGGACCUGCCCAGUGAGGUUUUUAACGGCCGCGGUACUCUGACCGUGCAAAGGUAGCAUAAUAAUUUGCCUUAUAAUUGAAGGCUAGUAUGAAUGGUUUGACGAGAAUAAAGCUGUCUCUUUGCAACUCAAUAGAAAUUUAUUUACGGAUGAAAAAGUCCGUAUAUCAUUAAUAGACAAGAAGACCCUAUCGAGCUUAAAAAAAAUUAGUGGAAUAAAAUUAAAUUAAACUAGAAAAUUAUCUACUAAAGAUUUUAGUUGGGGCGACUAAGGAACAAACAAAGCUUCCUCAAAUUACGUUUCGUCCAUUGACCUUGAUCCGGAAGUUUCCGAUUAAUAAAAUUAGUUACCGUAGGGAUAACAGCAUUAUCUUUUUUGAGAGCUCUUAUCGAAAAAAAGGUUUGUGACCUCGAUGUUGGACCAGAAUGUCCUAAAGAUGCAGCAGUCUUUAAGGGUUGGUCUGUUCGACCAUUAAUAUUCUACGUGAUCUGAGUUCA